AGGAAGAAGGCCUUCGGGUGUAAAGCUCUUCGGCGGGAACGAAAAGGUCCGUGUUAACACCAUGGAUCCAUGACGGUACCCGCAGAAGAAAGCACCGGCUAACUACGUGCCAGCAGCCGCGGUAAUACGUAGGGUGCAGGCGUUAAUCGGAAUUACUGGGCGUAAAGCGUGCGCAGGCGGUCUGCUAAGACAGGUGUGAAAUCCCCUGGCUUAACCUGGGAACUGCGCUUGUUACUGGCAGGCUUGAGUGUGGCAGAGGGGGGUGGAAUUCCACGUGUAGCAGUGAAAUGCGUAGAGAUGUGGAGGAACACCGAUGGCGAAGGCAGCCCCCUGGGCUAACACUGACGCUCAUGCACGAAAGCGUGGGGAGCAAACAGGAUUAGAUACCCUGGUAGUCCACGCCCUAAACUAUGUCAACUGGUUGUCGGGGAAGCAAUUCCUUGGUAACGAAGCUAACGCGUGAAGUUGACCGCCUGGGGAGUACGGCCGCAAGGUUAAAACUCAAAGGAAUUGACGGGGACCCGCACAAGCGGUGGAUUAUGUGGAUUAAUUCGAUGCAACGCGAAAAACCUUACCUACCCUUGACAUGCCAGGAACCUCGCAGAGAUGUGAGGGUGCCCGAAAGGGAACCUGGACACAGGUGCUGCAUGGCUGUCGUCAGCUCGUGUCGUGAGAUGUUGGGUUAAGUCCCGCAACGAGCGCAACCCUUGCCAUUAGUUGCCACAUUCAGUUGGGCACUCUAAUGGGACUGCCGGUGACAAACCGGAGGAAGGUGGGGAUGACGUCAAGUCCUCAUGGCCCUUAUGGGUAGGGCUUCACACGUAAUACAAUGGCCGGUACAGAGGGCAGCCAACUCGCGAGAGGGAGCUAAUCCCAGAAAGCCGGUCGUAGUCCGGAUUGCAGUCUGCAACUCGACUGCGUGAAGCCGGAAUCGCUAGUAAUCGCGGAUCAGCAUGUCGCGGUGAAUACGUUCCCGGG
rnacentral:rRNA from 1 species